GAGGCAGCAGUGAGGAUAUUGGUCAUGGGCGCAAGCCUGACCAGCCAUGCCGCGUGCAGGAAGACGGUCCUAUGGAUUGUAACUGCUUUUAUUCGGGGAUAAACCUCCUUACGUGUAGGGAGCUGAAGGUACCGAAAGAAUAAGCACCGGCUAACUCCGUGCCAGCAGCCGCGGUAAUACGGAGGGUGCAAGCGUUAUCCGGAAUCAUUGGGUUUAAAGGGUCCGCAGGCGGGAUUGUAAGUCAGUGGUGAAAAGCGGCAGCUCAACUGUCGUCGUGCCGUUGAUACUGCAGUUCUUGAUUUGAUUGGAGUGGGCGGAAUAAUGUCAUGUAGCGGUGAAAUGCUUAGAUAUGACAUAGAACACCGAUCGCGAAGGCAGCUCACUAAGUCUGAAUUGACGCUCAUGGACGAAAGCGCGGGUAGCAAACAGGAUUAGAUACCAUGGUAGUCCGCGCGUAAACGAUGAUUACUCGUU
rnacentral:rRNA from 1 species